GACGAACGCUGGCGGCGUGCUUAACACAUGCAAGUCGAACGGAAAGGCCCUGCUUUUGUGGCGUGCUCGAGUGGCGAACGGGUGAGUAACACGUGAGUUACCUUCCCGUUAGUUUGGGAUAACUUCAGGUAAUUGGGGCUAAUACCUGAUAGGGGCUCCUGCUGCAUGGUGUGGGUUGGAAAGUUUCGGCGGUUGGGGAUGGACUUGCGGCUUAUCAGGUUGUUGGUGGGGUAGUGGCUGACCAAGGCUUGGGCGGGUGGCCGGCCUGAGAGGGGGACCGGCCUACUGGGGAGGGACCUACGGCCCAGAGUCCUACGGGAGGAGGCAGUGGGGAAGAUUGAAAAAUGGGGGGAAGCCGGAUGCAGCACGGCCGCGCGAGGGAUGAGGGCCUUCGGGUGGUAAACCGCUUUAGCCUGUGAGGAAGCGUGGGUGACGGUACCGGGCGAAGAAGCACCGGCUAACUACGUG
rnacentral:rRNA from 1 species